AAGUCGUAACAAGGUUUCCGUAGGUGAACCUGCGGAAGGAUCAUUAUUGAAUGUACUUGCAAUAGGUUGAAGCUGACUUUUCGGAGUAUGUGCUCGCCUUUUGUAACUUACUACUUUUCCACUUGUGAACCUUUGUAGACUAUGAAUGAAAUAAACUCAUCUGAAAAUGGUGGUUAAGAGAGGUUUGUUCUUACAGAGCAUCCUUUUGUUAGUAGUUCAUAGUCUAUGUUAUAUUUACCCUUGAUUGAAUGUUAAUGAAUGUCAUUUUACUGGUCUUUGACCUUUAAACUUAAUACAACUUUCAGCAACGGAUCUCUUGGCUCUC
rnacentral:misc_RNA from 1 species